GAUGGUUAUGGUUCGAAUCCCACCGUUACCCACUGGAUGUAUCUUCGUGCUCUCAUUCUCUGUAUUUUGAUAUUAUGUCCUUCUGUUUGACAAAGGUUUAUAAGCCUAAAUUGAGCACAAAUCGACAACAAUAAUCAACAAAAGGAAGUUGGCAACAGUCCUAACGUGUUUAAUCCGGUUGGGUCUGAGUUUUAGCAAUUUUUUCAAAUUCUUUAAAUUCCAAGAACUAAUAAUAAUGACUUCUGAAACAAUAACGAAAAUCUUAAAAUGCGAUUCAUUUGAUGAAAACAAAGACUUGUGUCUUAUAGUGGAAGAUACUACGGCUUAUUGCCAGAAGGAUUUUGUUAAGAGAAUGAGUCCAACUAUUUAUGAUAUUGUUAUACUUCAACCCGACUGAAACGAAAUGGUUGUUCCUACAAGCAAUUUUGCUAGAAACGCAGAGCUAUAAGUGAUAAGCAGAGAGCUCGCCGCGCUUAAGUAUACUCAAUUUUGCUAGUGCUACAACUGUUAUGAAUAGAGAAUCAUACAUUAACGAUGAGGACUCAUGUGAUGUUAGUUACUAUGCUGGGAUGUUGGAAUAAGCUCUCUACUUGCCACAGAAAAUAUUAGAAAAAGAAAUUAAUUGAACAGAUUGUUCCCCAAAAUGUUCGUCAAGUCCUUCGAAUUGCUACAGAUUAUAGAAAAUUGGAUUUAAUUAAGAAAUCUGUGGAGCUGAUAAGAUCUGAAGUUGAUAAAUGACGCAUGUCUAUUUUACUGAUAUUUCUACUCGUAGCACGGCAAAAAUAGAUUUUUUAUAUGGCGUUGAGAGCCAUGGACUGUAAUUUCAGUUUCAUCCUAUUGAGUGUGUUGCAAUAAUUCAGACUUAUGAAAACUAUGACUGAGAAAGAAUAAAGCCUGAGAAACUGAUAAAAAUGAAGCAAUGCUAAUAAGAUAAGCAACAUCAUUGCUUUCAUUAUCUACAUAAUACAGCAUUUAGUGAUGAAGAUCCAGAUUAUGUUACCUCCUUGACAACAGUGAGCAGAUUCUAGCUAAAUUUUUGAAUUACCAGACAUAUAGAGAGCUUAAGAGUGAUAUUAGCUCAAGCUAAUAUUUGUGUUAAUAUUAAACAUAAUUUAUUAUUUUUGUAGAAUUCUUGUCAUUUUAUUUCAUAUAUUGGAUGUAUUCUAUCAUUUGAAAAAUAUGUCUGUUCCUCAAAUCUUUGCAGAUUACUUUUUUUAAUG
rnacentral:lncRNA from 1 species